CUUUUCUAAGACUAGGAAAAGCAGCAAACACUACAAGCCCCAGAAUUCUUAGCAAGGAUCCUGACAAUUUCCUCUGUCUGCAAGGGAAGAAGGUGAUGCAAAGGGCUGUUGCACCUAUAAAGAAAUCAACUUUUAUAAGACAUAUUGGAAUGAAAACCAGAUGUAUCUGUGGAUGGGGGAUACAAGGUACUUCCUGAAAGACUAAGAGGGACCUAGCAGCAGCCCAGCCAAAGUUCU
rnacentral:lncRNA from 1 species